AGUUGGUAGGGUAAAGGCCUACCAAGGCUACGACGGGUCGCUGGUCUGAGAGGACGACCAGCCACACUGGCACUGAGAUACGGGCCAGACUCCUACGGGAGGCAGCAGUGAGGAAUAUUGCGCAAUGGGGGAAACCCUGACGCAGCAACGCCGCGUGUGGGAAGAAGGCCUUCGGGUCGUAAACCACUUUUGCACGGGACGAAAAAGGGAUAUCGAACAAAUAUCCCCGAUGACGGUACCGUGAGAAUAAGCCACGGCUAACUCUGUGCCAGCAGCCGCGGUAAGACAGAGGUGGCAAGCGUUGUUCGGAAUUACUGGGCGUAAAGAGUCUGUAGGUGGUUUGUCAAGUCUUUGGUGAAAGGCCGUAGCUUAAC
rnacentral:rRNA from 1 species